rnacentral:rRNA from 1 species
UACGUAGGUGGCAAGCGUUGUCCGGAUUUAUUGGGUUUAAAGGGUGCGUAGGCGGCUGUUUAAGUCAGUGGUGAAAGCCGAUCGCUUAACGAUCGAACUGCCAUUGAUACUGGAUAGCUUGAGUACAGAUGAGGUAGGCGGAAUUGACAGUGUAGCGGUGAAAUGCAUAGGUAUUGUCAAGAACACCGAUUGCGAAGGCAGCUUACUAAAGUGUCACUGUCGCUGAGGCACGAAAGUGCGGGGAUCAAACAGG